rnacentral:misc_RNA from 1 species
GAUGAAGAACGUAGCAAAAUGCGAUAAGUAAUGUGAAUUGCAGAAUUCAGUGAAUCAUCGAAUCUUUGAACGCACAUUGCGCCCGCUGGUAUUCCGGCGGGCAUGCCUGUUCGAGCGUCAUUUCAACCCUCAAGCCCCCGGGUUUGGUGUUGGGGAUCGGCUCUGCCCUUCUGGGCGGUGCCGCCCCCGAAAUACAUUGGCGGUCUCGCUGCAGCCUCCAUUGCGUAGUAGCUAACACCUCGCAACUGGAACGCGGCGCGGCCAUGCCGUAAAACCCCAACUUCUGAAUGUUGACCUCGGAUCAGGUAGGAAUACCCGCUGAACUUAAGCAUAUCAAUAAGCGCAGGA